rnacentral:rRNA from 1 species
UUAAUAUUCCUGUACUUGGUGUUACUGCGAAGGGGGGACGGAGAAGGCUAUGUUGGCCGGGCGACGGUUGUCCCGGUUUAAGCGUGUAGGCUGGUUUUCCAGGCAAAUCCGGAAAAUCAAGGCUGAGGCGUGAUGACGAGGCACUACGGUGCUGAAGCAACAAAUGCCCUGCUUCCAGGAAAAGCCUCUAAGCAUCAGGUAACAUCAAAUCGUACCCCAAACCGACACAGGUGGUCAGGUAGAGAAUACCAAGGCGCUUGAGAGAACUCGGGUGAAGGAACUAGGCAAAAUGGUGCCGUAACUUCGGGAGAAGGCACGCUGAUAUGUAGGUGAAGCGACUUGCUCGUGGAGCUGAAAUCAGUCGAAGAUACCAGCUGGCUGCAACUGUUUAUUAAAAACACAGCACUGUGCAAACACGAAAGUGGACGUAUACGGUGUGACGCCUGCCCGGUGCCGGAAGGUUAAUUGAUGGGGUCAGCGCAAGCGAAGCUCUUGAUCGAAGCCCCGGUAAACGGCGGCCGUAACUAUAACGGUCCUAAGGUAGCGAAAUUCCUUGUCGGGUAAGUUCCGACCUGCACGAAUGGCGUAAUGAUGGCCAGGCUGUCUCCACCCGAGACUCAGUGAAAUUGAACUCGCUGUGAAGAUGCAGUGUACCCGCGGCAAGACGGAAAGACCCCGUGAACCUUUACUAUAGCUUGACACUGAACAUUGAGCCUUGAUGUGUAGGAUAGGUGGGAGGCUUUGAAGUGUGGACGCCAGUCUGCAUGGAGCCGACCUUGAAAUACCACCCUUUAAUGUUUGAUGUUCUAACGUGGACCCGUGAUCCGGGUUGCGGACAGUGUCUGGUGGGUAGUUUGACUGGGGCGGUCUCCUCCUAAAGAGUAACGGAGGAGCACGAAGGUUGGCUAAUCCUGGUCGGACAUCAGGAGGUUAGUGCAAUGGCAUAAGCCAGCUUGACUGCGAGCGUGACGGCGCGAGCAGGUGCGAAAGCAGGUCAUAGUGAUCCGGUGGUUCUGAAUGGAAGGGCCAUCGCUCAACGGAUAAAAGGUACUCCGGGGAUAACAGGCUGAUACCGCCCAAGAGUUCAUAUCGACGGCGGUGUUUGGCACCUCGAUGUCGGCUCAUCACAUCCUGGGGCUGAAGUAGGUCCCAAGGGUAUGGCUGUUCGCCAUUUAAAGUGGUACGCGAGCUGGGUUUAGAACGUCGUGAGACAGUUCGGUCCCUAUCUGCCGUGGGCGCUGGAGAACUGAGGGGGGCUGCUCCUAGUACGAGAGGACCGGAGUGGACGCAUCACUGGUGUUCGGGUUGUCAUGCCAAUGGCACUGCCCGGUAGCUAAAUGCGGAAGAGAUAAGUGCUGAAAGCAUCUAAGCACGAAACUUGCCCCGAGAUGAGUUCUCCCUGACUCCUUGAGAGUCCUGAAGGAACGUUGAAGACGACGACGUUGAUAGGCCGGGUGUGUAAGCGCAGCGAUGCGUUGAGCUAACCGGUACUAAUGAACCGUGAGGCUUAACCUUACAACGCCGAAGGUGUUU